ensembl:lncRNA
GUUUCAGUAUCAUUAGGAAGGGAGGAAGGAUAAUUAUAUUUCUAGCUAUGCCAUCUAUGAACAGCCAUCACAGGUUUCCAAACUGCGUGUGCAAAUAAUAACAUCUGAAGCCAUUCAUACCCUGCUUAAAAGAAGACCUGUGAAUAAGAGUGAGGACAAUAAAAAUUAAGGGAAAAGAACAUCUUUGCUACCUCAGGCUACUUCCUUGCUGUGUCACAAGGAAAGAGUGGAUGCAGAAGCCUUUGUGUUCCUCAAAUAACCACACAGCUAGAUAGGACCCGUGUUAGGGUAGAACUAUAUUGCACAGCCAAAUUGAGGUUUUUGUGUAUUAAAUACUGGAGAUAUUUGUACUUCCUUCCUCCCCUAUUUAGGUAUCUAAUAUAUUUACAAUGCUGAAAGAUUGCCCUCUUCCAUAAACUUAUCUGGUUUUGUUACUCUGAGAAAAUAUACCAUUUGCAUUGACCUGACCUUCAAAAACAUUUGGGAGCCACAGAUUUUAUUCAGAUUCUACAUGCAUAUUUGCUGUUUACUACGUAAUUGUUAGUCGUAUUGUUAGCUUUAUACAAUCAUCACCUGAAAACAUACAUGCACGAUUAUUAUUUUUCUUUAACUACCAAAAUAAUUGGAAUUGUUCCUCUGAGUGAUGUGUGGCUCUCUUUUGUAUCCCCAUAUUACCCUACAUUGUGUUCUGUUACACUAUUGUAUCCAGUUGAACUUGAUGGAAUACAUUAUGUAAAUCUGUGCCUGCUUCUUGUGUAUCAGCAGGAGAGAUCUCGGAAGCGUAAGCACUACUGCAGAGUUGCUGAUUAAAGUCAGACGCAG